UAAGUUAGUGGCGGACGGGUGAGUAACGCGUGGGUAACCUGCCUUGUACUGGGGGACAACAGUUGGAAACGACUGCUAAUACCGCAUAAGCGCACAGCUUCGCAUGAAGCAGUGUGAAAAACUCCGGUGGUACAAGAUGGACCCGCGUCUGAUUAGCCAGUUGGCGGGGUAACGGCCCACCAAAGCGACGAUCAGUAGCCGGCCUGAGAGGGUGAACGGCCACAUUGGGACUGAGACACGGCCCAAACUCCUACGGGAGGCAGCAUG
rnacentral:rRNA from 1 species